GACGAAGGAUGCAAGCGUUAUCCGGAUUCAUUGGGUUUAAAGGGUGCGUAGGCGGCCUGCUAAGUCAGUGGUGAAAUCUUCUCGCUUAACGAGAAAACUGCCAUUGAUACUGGUGGGCUUGAGUACAGAUGCUGUGGGCGGAAUAUGACAUGUAGUGGUGAAAUACAUAGAGAUGUCAUAGAACACCGAUUGCGAAGGCAGCUCACAAAACUGUAACUGACGCUGAGGCACGAAAGUGCGGGGAUCAAACAGG
rnacentral:rRNA from 1 species